CAGGAUGAACGCGGGGGGUAUGCUUAACACAUGCAAGUCGAACGGUGUCUUCGGACAUAGUUUUUUACGGGUGAGUAACGCGUGAGAAUCUAGCUUCAGGUCUGGGACAACCACUGGAAACGGUGGCUAAUACCGGAUGUGCCGGAAGGUGAAAGGCUUGCUGCCUGAAGAUGAGCUCGCGUCCGAUUAGCUAAUAGGAGGGGUAAGAGCCUACCUAGGCGACGAUCGGUAGCUGGUCUGAGAGGAUGACCAGCCACACUGGGACUGAGACACGGCCCAGACUCCUACGGGAGGCAGCAGUGGGGAAUUUUCCGCAAUGGGCGAAAGCCUGACGGAGCAAUACCGCGUGAGGGAGGAAGGCUCUUGGGUUGUAAACCUCUUUUCUCAGGGAAGAACACAAUGACGGUACCUGAGGAAUCAGCAUCGGCUAACUCCGUGCCAGCAGCCGCGGUAAUACGGAGGAUGCAAGCGUUAUCCGGAAUGAUUGGGCGUAAAGCGUCCGCAGGUGGCUGUGUAAGUCUGCUGUCAAAGAGCAAAGCUCAACUUUGUAAAGGCAGUGGAAACUACACGGCUAGAGUGCGUUCGGGGCAGAGGGAAUUCCUGGUGUAGCGGUGAAAUGCGUAGAGAUCAGGAAGAACACCGGUGGCGAAGGCGCUCUGCUAGGCCGCAACUGACACUGAGGGACGAAAGCUAGGGGAGCGAAUAGGAUUAGAUACCCCAGUAGUCCUAGCUGUAAACGAU
rnacentral:rRNA from 1 species